UAACCCCGGGAACUUUGUGACGACUGCC
rnacentral:piRNA from 1 species